GGGCAAUGGCGGGCGCCCCUCCCCCAGCCUUGCUGCGGCCUUGCAGUUUGAUCUCAGACUGCUGUGCUAGCAAUCAGCGAGACUCCGUGGGCGUAGGACCCUCCUAGCCAGGUGCAAGAUAUAAUCUCGCGGUGCGCCGUUUUUUAAGCCGGUCCGAAAGCGCAAUAUUCGGGUGGGAGAGACCCGAUUUUCCAGUGAGAUGAACCCAGUACCUCAGAUGGAAAUGCAGAAAUCACCCGUCUUCUGCGUCGCUCACGCUGGGAGCUGUAGACCGGAGCUGUUGCUAUUCGGCCAUCUUGGCUCCUCUCCUGCACUGCAAGAAUGGACUAAUACGCUAUGUGAAGACAAAGGGGAUGUCUGCAAGCCAGGACGAGUGCGUCUACCAGAAACUGAGUUCUGCUGGACUUUGAUCUAGGACAUCCAGCCUCCAGAAUGGAAUGUGCCAUAUGUGGAGACCUGCAUGGAAAGGAACUGAGGAUGCUCUCUCACUAAAAGCUAGAAGGAACUGAGGCCCUCAGUCAACAGUCUACAAGACACUGAAUCUUGCCAGCAGCCAAGCAGUGAGCUUGAAAGCAGAUCUAUCAUCAGCUGAACCUUCAGAUGAGACCGCAGCCUAAGCAGAUACCUUGGUUGCAGCCAUGUGAGACAACCUGAAACAGAGGGCACAGCUAAGCCUCAGCCAGGUUCAUGACCCUCUGAGGAAACUGUGAGAAAGCAAAUGUCAUUUUAAGCUAUUUAAUUUUGGAGGUAGUUUAUUACACAACAAUAAAUAACUAUUAUAAUUAUCUUGAGGAUUUAUUUCCUGGGGAGAAUACAUGGAAUUGCAUAUAUAGGUCCUCAUAUGCAGAAUACUGGUACCCUAGAGAUGUUCACCCCAGAGAUGUUUUAGGAACCUGUGAAUAUGUUACAUUAAAUGGCAAAGUUUUCCUGGAUGGUUUAAGUUUAAGAUGGAAAAGUUUUACUGGAUUAUCCAGUGGGUCCAAUCUAGUAACAUGAGUCCUUAAAAAUGGAGAAUAUUUUUUGGCCAUGAUCAGAGAGACAUGUGAUGAUGGAAAAAGUGUCAGAGAUGCAAUGUGAGGGGACUAAAACUGCUGUUGCUGACUUUAAAGAUGGAGAGAGGGGAACCCGAGUCAAGGAAUGCAAAUGGCCUCUGGAAGCUGGAAAAAGCAAGAAAUGGAUUCUCCUUUAGAGCCUGUGGAAUAAAAUGCAGUCAUGCUGACACCUUGAUUUUACCUCAGUGAGACCAAUACUGGAGUAUGACCUUCGGAGCUGAAUAAAAUUAUACGUACACAUCUUAAUUUCUUGGGAUUUGAUUACUUCUUCUGCUUUGAAAUUAGACCAAGUUUAGCCUGCCUUUGCUAUUUUGGCGUAUCUCCAAUUCUUCAUGAUUUUCUCAUUGUUGCCUCCAUAUGAUGCAAAAUAUCCAACCUAGCCCUGACAUGAAAACUUAAUUGAAAGUAUCCAACAGUGGAGAUGGGGUUGCACUAUGCUGCCUGAGCUGGUCUGGAACUCCUGGGCUGUAAUGAUCCUCUGGCCUCCUCAGCCUCCCAAAAUGUUGGGAUUACAG
rnacentral:lncRNA from 10 species